rnacentral:tRNA from 1 species
GCGGAUGUAGUUCAAUGGUAGAACGGCAGCCUUCCAAGCUGCAUACACGGGUUCGAUUCCCGUCAUCCGCUCCA